rnacentral:rRNA from 1 species
GUGCCAGCCGCCGCGGUAAUACGGGGGGUGCAAGCGUUGUUCGGAUUUAUUGGGCGUAAAGCGCGUGUAGGCGGUUUGUUAAGUCUGUUGUGAAAGCCCUGGGCUCAACCCGGGAAGUGCACUGGAUACUGGCAGACUUGAAUACGGGAGAGGAGAGUGGAAUUCCUGGUGUAGGAGUGAAAUCCGUAGAUAUCAGGAGGAACACCGGUGGCGAAGGCGGCUCUCUGGACCGAUAUUGACGCUGAGACGCGAAAGCGUGGGUAGCAAACAGGAUUAGAUACCCCCGUAGUCC